UUAGAAUGAUAAAACUUAGAACAUUUAGCGGCAACCUUUUUAAUAAGCUCCUGCAUUUCAAAAUUCAAAAACUCAAAUCUCUCUCCAUUGUUCUCUUUGCCUGCUGGUACGGGAAGCUCAGCACCCUCACCGGAGUAAACACAAAAACUUUGCUCGCAAUGCAAACAGAGGAACCGCCGUUAGAACAGCGGCAGCGGCGAGUGGUGUUCCUGCCAACAGUGAAGAAGGAGUAGCUAGAAGCAAGUUGAUGACACGGCGAAGAGAACGAGAGCUCUGAGAUUCUACCAUCGACGAUGUUGCAGAGGAUUGAGUGUUAUUGUUAGUACAGUCUUAACCAGCAAAGCUAUUUUCCAAAGAAUGAAGAUCUAUACGAUCUAUACAGUAUCUAUCACCAUCCGAAUAGUGUUUGGCCUCAUGCUCAUUGAACUAAUAUGGAAAUUCAACUUCUAGCCUUCAUGUUUUUGACCAUUGCCAUUCUAAAUGAUGCUAAAGUUCCAAGCAGAUAUUCCUUUCAAGGACCAGGAGCUCAGGCAGUUUUCAACUGUGUGAGUUUUUAACUCACUUAUAACUUAAAUUGGCAAAGCUAUUGAGGUGGUUGAAAUUGGCAAAGGUAUCAAGGUUAGGUGUGAGCUGCACAAGACAAGUGGACUUCUAAAGAUAACGAAGGAGACAUAGGGUUCAGAAGGGGGGAUGCAAGGCACUAUACCCUUUACACUGGGAUCUUAGGCAACAUUCUUUCUUCGUGGAUCACCUGCUCUAAGAGAAUGCAAGUUUCAAGAGUCUACAACAGGCACGC